GGAGAGCACUGGACCAGUCAGUCACUAUUGCUUGACCAGACCCUGGUUAGAUUCCCUGCACCCUGAAGAAGCAGAGAAAUGAGAUGGGAUUUGCCAAUGCCAUUGCCAGUCAGGAAGCAGAUGGCCCCAACCUGGGAACUGGGUCUUCGGAAAGUUCUUCUCAGAGGGACAGAGAAGAUACUUCCUCCAUUGCUACGUGGCCUGCUCCUUACCUACUCCCUCCUGGGGGAAGCCAAGGGGACAAGGUCACCACCCUCUCCAGCCUGCCUUGGGCUUGGGGAGUGAGGAGGAGGGCGAGGGACAGCUGGUGACCCUGAACAUCUGCCAUCCAUCGCACCGUCACCUAGAGCAAGUGAGUGGCAUUAGGGUUCCUAGGUGGUUUCCCCUGUCUGUCGGGGGAGAGGCAGAAAGAGCGGGAGAGAAUCUCUCCCAAAGGAGAUUGGAUUUGCAAACAGCCCUCAGGAGCCCUUCAC